UCAUCUCCGGGGGUAGAGCACUGUUUCGGCUAGGGGGCCAUCCCGGCUUACCAACCCGAUGCAAACUGCGAAUACCGGAGAAUGUUAUCACGGGAGACACACGGCGGGUGCUAACGUCCGUCGUGAAGAGGGAAACAACCCAGACCGCCAGCUAAGGUCCCAAAGUCAUGGUUAAGUGGGAAACGAUGUGGGAAGGCCCAGACAGCCAGGAUGUUGGCUUAGAAGCAGCCAUCAUUUAAAGAAAGCGUAAUAGCUCACUGGUCGAGUCGGCCUGCGCGGAAGAUGUAACGGGGCUAAACCAUGCACCGAAGCUGCGGCAGCGACACUCAGGUGUUGUUGGGUAGGGGAGCGUUCUGUAAGCCUGUGAAGGUGUGUCGUGAGGCAUGCUGGAGGUAUCAGAAGUGCGAAUGCUGACAUAAGUAACGAUAAAGCGGGUGAAAAGCCCGCUCGCCGGAAGACCAAGGGUUCCUGUCCAACGUUAAUCGGGGCAGGGUGAGUCGACCCCUAAGGCGAGGCCGAAAGGCGUAGUCGAUGGGAAACGGGUUAAUAUUCCCGUACUUGGUGUUACUGCGAAGGGGGGACGGAGAAGGCUAUGUUGGCCGGGCGACGGUUGUCCCGGUUUAAGCGUGUAGGUGUGUGUUCCAGGUAAAUCCGGUUCACUUUAACACUGAGGCGUGACGACGAGGCACUACGGUGCUGAAGCAACAAAUGCCCUGCUUCCAGGAAAAGCCUCUAAGCAUCAGGUAACAUCAAAUCGUACCCCAAACCGACACAGGUGGUCAGGUAGAGAAUACCAAGGCGCUUGAGAGAACUCGGGUGAAGGAACUAGGCAAAAUGGUGCCGUAACUUCGGGAGAAGGCACGCUGACACGUAGGUGAAGUGAUUUACUCACGGAGCUGAAGUCAGUCGAAGAUACCAGCUGGCUGCAACUGUUUAUUAAAAACACAGCACUGUGCAAACACGAAAGUGGACGUAUACGGUGUGACGCCUGCCCGGUGCCGGAAGGUUAAUUGAUGGGGUCAGCGCAAGCGAAGCUCCUGAUCGAAGCCCCGGUAAACGGCGGCCGUAACUAUAACGGUCCUAAGGUAGCGAAAUUCCUUGUCGGGUAAGUUCCGACCUGCACGAAUGGCGUAAUGAUGGCCAGGCUGUCUCCACCCGAGACUCAGUGAAAUUGAACUCGCUGUGAAGAUGCAGUGUACCCGCGGCAAGACGGAAAGACCCCGUGAACCUUUACUAUAGCUUGACACUGAACAUUGAGCCUUGAUGUGUAGGAUAGGUGGGAGGCUUU
rnacentral:rRNA from 1 species